CGGGAGGCAGAUGGUCUGGCCCGUUCUCGGGCUAGUUCAGGUUCCGCGCUCCGAGUCACAAAGCGCAGGGUCACGUGGGCGGGCCGGUGCGCUUUGUGACGCCACGGCCCCGCCCCUCGGCCCGCCUAUCCGCGCACACCGGCUCCGCCUUGCGCGCGCCGCCCGUGCAAUCCCUGCUUAGAGACCCCGGAGUGGGGCGCUCGCCCGAAGCCAGGCCGCGUCCGCCAUAGUGCCUGGCUUGGAGGUGUCGCCGUCGCUGGGUGAGGGCCCGAGAGCGGCAGGGGGGCAAAACAAAAAAGGGAGCCAGCGAAGCCCUCAUCGCCGCCCGGCCGUUUCCGGGCUCAACUGGUCGCGGUUCUGGGCCUAAAGGCGACGGGAGCGAAAGGCGAGAGAAGCGCGGAGGAGGAUCCGGCGAGAGGAAGCGUCAGGGAAGCCUCGGCGGUGUCCCCGGGGUCCGCCGAAGCCACCCGGCCGCUGGCUGGGGCCCGGGGUGGUGAGGAAGUGCUCCGAGGCCUCGCGGAGGCCCAGCGCCGGCUUUGUGUCGAGGCGGCGGCGGCGGCGGGGGGGAGGCGGAGCCCGAGCCGGGGGCGGCCUGCGGAAGGCCUCUCCUCCGCCGACCGCGCGUCCUCGGCCUAGGCCGCGGGCCGCUCGUGGCCGCCGGGGAGCAGGCGCCAGGGUGUGUGUGUGGUGGGGGCCUGGGCCUGGGGAAGCUGACGCCGGUCGUCCGGAAGCCAGCCGGAGGCGAGAGGCCGCUCGAGGACUCCGGGCCUAGGCCCUCUCCCCGCAACCUUCUCCCGGGGCCUGGGUCACCCCCAUCCACGGAGAGAGACCAGCCGGGAGGUGCAGCCGCGCUAUGGACCCCUGACCCCGCGGGGGCACCCGGACUCUAACGUGUGGACUGACCGCUACUGACUGCACUGCCGGCCCUUAGCAUGAGCGAGGGGGACCCAGCCGGGUGACAUUGUGCCCGUUGGAGGAUUCUCGAUUUCCCCCCUUCCCGGUCCUCGUCCUCCUCCUCCCACAUGAAGCGCUUCUGAGUGCCGGGGGGGGUUCUGGAUUAUUGUUCUCACGCACCCCUGCUUGUGGUUGGGGGGUGUUUAAUCUGAGGCCUCAGGGUCCUUCGGUGUCUCUUUUGAGUGUUUUCUGUGUGUACAUAUUUUGCUCUUCCGUUUUAUAAAUAUACAUAUAUUCAGAGUGUCCACGUCUCCUCNUUUAACAAGGGUCAUACCCUUUAAAAAUUGUCAUCAUCUGUAAUGUCCCUCUGCUUAGGGAAAGGGACAGAUAGGAAGUAGAUUUUUUUUGAAGUUCACCAGAAGUAUCCCUUAAUACUGCAGUUAUAGUUCACAAAACAAAUGGAUUUUUAAUGAUUUUAGGCCAUAUUGCUACAUUAAUGCAUAUUUAUGAAUGAAAGGUAAAGCAAUAUAGGUGAAAUUUGAGGAUAUUAAGGCAAUUUUGUCCCGAGUUUUGGCACCAAAAAAAAAAAAAAAAAAAGCAAUUUUGUUACAUACUAUGCAGUUUUCAUUUUUGCCAUUUUGAGUUAUGUGGUAGGGCUAGGCUUUAUCCAUCUUGUCUACAUAGCAAUUAAAAGCAGCUUUUAGACUGGAGGAAGUUAUGGUUGAAGGAAUCUUGUCCACAAAUGGGAGAGUUUUGUGACUAUGUGUUAUUUUUUCCCUAGUCCAGGAAAUAUAAAUACAUGAUAACAUAAUCUAGGAAAGUGCUUUGCCCAGCAGCAUGUUUUCUUUCAUUUAUAGUGUAAGCUGAACUUCAGUGGAGAAAGGUUAGGCUGGUUAAGAAAAGAGUGGGAGACAAAUGUCUAUUUCGUGUAGUCGUCAUUUUAGGGGAUGAAAAGAUACCAUUGAUAGCAGCGUAGAGGGUAGCAGCUUCAUGAGUUUUGUGAAAAACAGCAUCCGCUGUUUCAAGACCCUUGAAUAAAGAUGCCACUUGGUUUUAGCACUGUUAGUAAAGUUGCAAAAUAAGUGUUUGUAGUAUAAGAGAUUGCCUAAGAAAGAAGGUUGAGCUGGAUCAUUUCAGUUUCUGCUGUGUUUCUAUUAAACAUUUCUUAUAGUUUUUGAAAUCUGUCUGUUUAGGACCCCUAAAUCCUGGUAAUACUAAAAUGCUUGAAUCAGAAUUUUGUUUUAGAUUUUAAGUAUCCUGUUUACUUUUAGACCCUUUCUGAAUCUCUCCAUUUCUCAAAUUCAACAUUUUUCAUUCCAUCUAUGCCAUUCAUGUUUUUGGAUCAAAACUUAUGCUGGCAGGUCCUUAGAAGCUAAAAGACUACUUAUUAAGGAGUUAUUUUAAAUGUAAGCUAUUUUGGGAGUUAGAAAACCAUUGUAAUUCAAGUAAAGUGGUCAGUUAGAAUAUCUGUUUGAAGGGCAUCAGGACACCUGACUCUUUAAUACUAUUUAACAUAGUAUUGUGCAGAUCAAAUUAAUAAAUUGGUUUUGGAAGCUAUUAUGAAUGCAUUUGAAAAUUGUUACAUAUUCAGAAACUUCCUGUCAGAUAGUUGACUUAUUUUGACUUUCAAAUUAACUUUUUAAGCUUAUUAAAAAUCCCUCAUCCUUUCCCACUUCCAAUUUUCCUGACUCAGAUUGAUUGGAAUUUGGGACUGUAACAAGCUAUCCAGCAUAAUGUCCAGAGUCUUACAUUGGCAUGCCUAAUUCUGGGAGAUUGCGUCACUCUAAUUGGAUACUUGUAAGGUAUCACCAAGUAGUUGAAAUAUAUUGAUAAGAACCCUUGCCUGAACAAUUUAUUUUAUAACAGGGAAUACUAAUAGCAUUAUGACUAAAAAUAAUAAAGCUGACAUACAUUUAAAAACCUAAAAAUUCCACACAUGUAAUAAGCUUGAAAUAAUUGAAAGAGAGAUAGCCACUUUGUGCUAAGUAAUUUAAGAGAAGCACAUAAGCUUAAUACCAUUAAAAGUGAACCCUAAUAUCUGGUUGUGGGAUUAAGAGAGAUGGAUACAUUUUUGCAUCUCUAAUGAGUUAUUUUUUCUUUUUGAUACUGAGAUGCCUUGGUAAAUCUUGUUAUUGUAGUUAAGGGUGGGUUCAGUUUUUUUGUUACUAGUAUAAGUUAUAGACAGUCCAAGAAGGGAAAUAGCACCAAUUCAUCCUCUCUCGGUUUUCUCAAAAAGUAGCACCAUUUACUAAAACUAGGAACCUAGGAAUUCAUGCCUCUUUUUCCUUUAUCUUCCCAUUAUUCAGCCCAUCAGCAAGCUGUGUCAUUUCUGUCCCAAUAACAUUCUUUAUUUUAUGUAUUUAUGUGGUGCUGAGGAUUGAACCCAGUGCCUUACACUCACUAGGCAAGUGCUCUGCCACUCAGCCCCAGCCCUGUCCCCAUAACAUUCUGGCUCUCCAUUUCUUUCUGCCACAUCCCCACACAUUAUCCCUGUCUGGUAUCAUCUUCAUUAUCUCUACCAGGACUAAGAGGCAGCAGCCUCUUAGUCACCCCGUUUCUCCUCUUCCCCUACAACUUAUUCUUUACAUAGGUGACAUAAUUUUAUUUUUUUAAAUUAACUUGUUUGAUUUAUUUACUUAUUUUUGUAGUACUGGAGUUUAAACCACUAAGCUAAGUCCCCAGUACUUUCUAUUUUUUAUUUUGAGUCAGGGUCUCAUAUCCUCCUGCCUCAAUCUAAUAGGUGGAAUUAUAGACAUGUGCUACAUGCCCAGAAUCUUUUUCUUUUAUAACAUAAAUUGUUGUCAUUUCAUAUAAAAUCCUCCAGAGACUUUCUUGUACUUAAAAACAAAAUAUAAAUCAGUAUAUGUCCCACGCCUUUUUAUCUGUUGUGUAUGUCAUUCUCUUGUUUGUUUGUUUUUUUUUUUCAGCUCUUUAGUUCUUUGUGUCAUUUUUUCAUGUUUUUCCCUCUGUCUAAAAUACUUUUCAUCUAGCUUUUUUGUGUACCUUGCUGGCUUCUCAGUUGUGUUUUGUUGUUGUUUUGUUCUGUGGUGAUGAACUCAUUCUGCCAUUGAGCUACAUCCCCAAACCCUUUUUAUUUUUUACUUUUUAUUUUGAGACAAAGUCUAGUUAAGUUGUCCAGGCUGGCCUGGCACUUGAUGAUCCUCCUGUCUCAGCCUUCUGAAUAGCUGGUAUUGCAGUCCUCUGCCACCAGGCCAGCUGUAUCAGUCUUCAGAGUUGCAAAUGUAGGUUCCUUAGAGGGGCUUUCUUUGGAUAGAAUGUUGAUUCUAUCCAAAGUUACAUCCACAAUCUUUUAUUAUAUAAAAAGAAACUCUGUUCAUAAUGUCAUAAUUUAAUGCAUAGGCUGUUUUCUCCAGUAGUAAUAAGCUCCAUGGGUGCAGGGUUUGUAAUAUUCAGUUCAUUUUUAGAGCUUGAGGAGGCAGAACUAAUCUUCAUUCUAAAUAAGUUUUGCCAUGUAUGUUGAACAUUUCUGGCUAAAUACACUAGGGAAUGGCAUAGUCUUAAUGAGAUUGGGAGUUCCACGAAGUAGAGGUACCAGAGCUAAGCAUUUGCUUUUGUUAUUUGGUGUCCUUGGAACAGAAGCCCCCUAUGGCUUUGGAUAUAUUAUCUAACAAUAUUAGAAAUGAUGCAAGGAACAUGCAGUUGUUAGUGCCCUUUUGUGAUUGUGUUCAUUUCCCACGACACUUAUAUUUGGUUGAAGUUGUCUAAUUCUUGAGUAUUUACCCAAAUCCCCAAAUAGAAAUUUGACUCUUUUUUUCCUUUAUUUACAGAAUAUACUGAUGAUAAUGCUCUAAUUCCUAAGAAUUCAUCUGUAAUUGUUAGAAGAAUUCCCAUAGGAGGUGUUAAAUCUACAAGCAAGACAUAUGUUAUGUAAGUAUUUUUGAAUUUUUAUGGAUUUCUCAAAAUAGACCUUUUUAAAUUUUUGAAUCCUAUUUAUAUCUUUUUGUUUGUUCUGAUUUCUUUCCCUGGUUAAGCUGACUUAGCCUGUCAUUUAUAAGCAAGAACUAUUCUUAGGGAAAAUUUCUGCUAUUUUCUCACCAUAAAAAAUAUAUGUGACAUAGAUCUUAUAUAUUUUGACAGCAUUGAGAGUAUUCAGUAAUGCUGACUUACGUUCUUUAUCAAAAGAGACUUCAGUUAGGAGGCCAUAUAUAUAGGAUAUAUGAGCAUAACACUGGAAUCGGGCUUAGGUUUGACUUUGUUUAUUGCUUUAUGCCUACCAAUUGUGUUACUUUGGGUGAUUUUCCUAAAGUGUUUGUUGCCUCAGAUUUCUCUAAAACAGAAAGGGAUAUGAUAUAUAGUUUGCACUUUAUAUCCUUGGGUUCUGUGUCUGUAAGUGCAGAUUGAAAAGAUUAGAAAAAGGAAAAAAAAAGUUACUAUAUAAGUCACAUAUACAUUAUAUUCAGAUAUGCCAUUUCAUAUAAAGGACUUGAGGGUCCUAGAUCCAAUCUCAUGAAUACCUAGGUUCAACUAACUUACAGAUUCUAAAAAUUAGAUAGUGCUAGCCAUAUGGUAAAUGCCCAAUAUUGAAAUAAGAAACAGAUUCUCUCAGGACUAGUCUAAGAGUUUAUAUUUACUAGAAGGGUAUAAUUAAAACUUCAACUUCUCUGCUUUCUUGCAACUUUUUAUACUGAUAGCAGAACUAAAAAUAUGUGAAGAAGGCAGCAAUUUGGGCUAUUUAAAGAGUAGUGGUUUUUACUGAGAAUUUACAUAGCUUUGUUUUAAAUUUGGCAAAUUCUGCUUUGGGUCAAAGAAAAAUUAUGGAAUUUGUUGGUCCUAAGAAUUGCAAUGUGUUCUUGGAAAUAAGGUAAAAUAGUCGUUUCUUGGAGUUUUACCUCAUGUGGGCAAGUGUUGUGAAAUUUUUCUCACUAGUUAGUUGUAAAGUUACAUUCUAUAUCUUAACAUUUGAAGGUCUCUUGUGUAAUAGCUGCAGAAUAGUAUCGGCUUUAAAAAGGUGAAUACCUUUUUGUUGUGAUUACCAAGUAAACUUUGUAGUACAUGCUUUUAACUGUAAAUGAUAUUAAGGAUUAUGAAUUAAGAUGAUGAUUUUAAGAAUUAAUUUCUGUAACCUAGUAUGAAAUUACACUUUUUAUCAUGUGUUUUUUAGAAAAAUAGCAAACAUCCCUUUCUCUGGAUUUCUUUUCUCUUUCUUUCUUUUUUUUGAUUGAGAAAAGAAUAAUUUGAAGUAAAUGGCAAAACAAGUUGCCUCUUAACACAAAUUGCAUGUUAAUUAUCAACACAUAGGGUUUUGUUUAUAAUAAAUUUGCCUGAAAAUAUCUCUGUGUUUGUUGAGCAAAUACUAGAAAAUGAGCCCCCACACCCAUUUUUUUAAUCUCAGAACUUCCAAAUAAUGCAUAAAAGCUGAGCAUUUAAAAGUUAUACUUAGAAACUCAACCCCUGUUUAUUUCCUGUGUGAGCUAAGGAAAUUUCUUUUUAGAUUUAUUUGUAUGUUCUUUUAAAAAUCGUGUUGUCCAAUUCUACAUAACCAUUUAACUCAUUCUUUUUAACUAAAAUACUCUCAGACUAAGUUGUAUCUUCCUGAGAGUUUGGGUUCUUAUUCAAUUAUUGGCCAUUGUUUUGAAACUUUUAAAAAAUGAAAAUAACUGUCAACCUGUCUAUUUGAAAGUUAGUUUUUGGAGGACGGUAGUUUCUCGUGGAUCCAAAUCAAAUGCUAAUGGCAAUAAUCUUGCUUUGAGAAAAUAUGUGUGGAAAUUCAUUAGGUGACUCUUAAAAAACUAUAGAAUGAUCUUUCAGUCUCUUAAGAAUGAACCACAGGGGCUGGGAUUGUGGCCCAGUGGUAGAGCUCUUGCCUUGUGUGCAUGGGGCACUGGGUUCUAUCCUCAACACCACAUAAAUAAAUAAAAUAAAAGUAUUGUGUCCUACAACUAAAAAAAAAUUAAAAAAAAAAAAUGCACCACAGAGUUUCUCAACAUAAUAAAGUCCCCAUACUACCUUUCAGAAAACAUUUAUUAUAAAUGGCAAGGUACACCUAUUCUAGAAUUCCCCACUGUGGAAAUUUUUUUAACCCUUUUGAAAGGGGGUAAAUAUAAAAUUUUUGUAUGAAAGGAAAAUUGUGUUACUAAAAACGUGAUUGGUGAUAUGAAUUAAUAUUUAUUAGCACAAAAAAAUCAAAAAUACUAAGGUUAGUUAAGAUUUGUAAAAACUAAUGUUAGUCUUUGUUGUUUUUUGUUUUUUAGAAGUCGAACUGAACCAGUGAUGGGAACUACAAAAGCAGUAUGUAAAAACACAAUCUCACACUUUUUCUACACAUUGCUUUACCUUUUUAUAUUGUUGCAGUGAAGUAAAUCAUUUUUAGUACUUAAUAUUCAACUGAUCAUAAUACAUAUUGUAAAUAAAAUGUAUUUUGAUGACAGCUCAGUCGAAUAUGGAUAUAUGUGGCAUAAUUUGCACACUUAUUCUGUAGAAAUGGGAAAUUUGUGCCCAUAACACUGUUUCAUAUUAAAUAUGAUAGAAUUCUCCCUGUAUGACACUGUGUUGUACAGUAAUGUAUGAUCCUUUUUAGAUCGUAUAGGUUUUACACUAAUGAACAUGAUAACAUGUUCUACAUCUGUCUGUCUAUAGUUAGUAUUUUGUAUGUAUGUACAGGCUGUUGUGUGCUUUUUGUUUCUUGCAAUAAAAAAAUGUUUGGAGUUGUAUAUUUUGCCAUUUUCACGUUGUAUCACUUAGUUUUUGUUAGUUCCCCACCCCACCCCCUGGCUGAUUGAUGGCUUUCAAAAAUGCAUUAGCAACAUGCAAAGCUUACAUUAAAGUUUGAUGCUUUCUCUAAGUUGAAGCACGUCAUAGAAAAGAGCUUUCCAGAGACCAUUGAUGCAGCUUUAUUAUUUAUUCUUGCUUUAUUUGGCAAUUUUGAGCUCCUAUUCUUUCUUUACAGUGCAUUAUAACGUAAAAACUACACCCUUCUCCCCAUAAGUACAUAAAAGUCUCAAUGAUUUUGAUGAUUUCAUACAGUUGGGUAUAUUGUUUUCAAAAUUUAAUACAAGGCCUUGCACUUCUAUCUAGCUUAUUCAAAAGUCCAAUUGAAAAUAUUGCUCUUUCAUGAGAUUCUAAAAUGCUGCAUUAAUUGUAGGCUAUUAAAGCUAUAGGUUAUCAAAGGUAACUCCUCUUGACCAGGGUAACGUCUUAAUUUUUAUAAUCCCAGAUUAACCUUAAGUGUGACACUUCUUUGACUUUAAGCUCUUAAGUAAAAGGUAGCAGCAUUCCUAAAUUGUGAAGUGAAACAUCUGUUUCAGAAUACAGGUCUAUCUUAAUUGAGUUCUGUAAACUUGAUGGUUCUCUAAACAUUUUACUGCUCAGGCUUGAUAUUGUACACAAUGCAAGAUGUCUGAAAUCUUCAUUUAGAAUUCAAGGGUUUUGCUUGCUAUUUCAUUUUAUACUUUCAAAGUACUACUGAUUUUGUGUAUGAGGCAUUUCACUAACCUUGGAUCACUGGAUCUUAAACAUAACGUAGAAUAUCUGAACUCUGGACUUGUUCUCUAAAGUAUAUGGCCUUUAGUUCUGAUGGAACUAAAUAUAGUUAUUCAAAGAUCAAAAGUCUUAGAGUUUUGGGUUGUUUUUUUUUUUUUUUUUUUUUUUUUUUUUUUGUUUUUUUUUUUUUUUUUUUUUUUUUUUUUUUUUUUUUUUUUUUUAAAGCAUAAUGCUGUAAAAACUGUCCAAGUUUCUGUUUUGCUGGUGAUUGGUUUAAAAUGAUUUUUAUGUAUCCAAAUGCUAGCACAAAUUAGAUUGACUCUCCUGGUGACUGUAGUAGUAAAUGUAACACGUUUUGUAUAAAGUACAUUUUUAUAUAGUAUUUAAGCUAAUUCAGAUGAAGUUUUAUUUCUUGAAAACAAUUAUUUCCUUUUUGUUUAUUAGCAUGUGUAUAAGCACAAAAUCACAUGUUCAUAAAUAAAGUUAACAUUCUUUUAGCCUUGUGUGUUCCCUGGCAUGUCUGUAUUACAUUUAUAAGAAGCAGUUUAUUUUAAGCUUAUUUAGGCUUUUCUUUUUAUUUAUUUUUUAAUACUUUCAAAGUGGUUUUAGUUUUUAGCUAGGAUUAUCUGAAAUGGACAACUUGUUAUCCCCAUUCUUUACCUGCUUGGGGUGCAUAUGCUGACAUUUAGGAUGCGAGAGUAUAUUCAAACAUAAUCUGUGCUCAUCUUAGGAGACUUAAUUGUGUGGAUUAUAUUCAUUCACAAAAGUAAAUAGAGGUACAGGUCUAAAUUUUUUAUUCUCAUUAGUAAAUGUAUGCACUCUUUUUGGUAAUGUAAGGCAAGUCAUAAUCAGAGGUAGUCAUUUCCGUACUCCCCAGCCUUGUUUUAGUCAGUCAUCCUUCCAUGUUAGUCCUUCAAAGCUGGGUGUUGUUCUUGCUAACUAAAUAUAAGAAUUACAUUUAGGAUCCUUUAGUUUCAGACAAGUAUAACCACAUAAAAAGUUUCAGAUCCUUGCUCCCAGAAGUAAGACCUCCUGGUUAGAUGCAGGGAGGUGGGUUAAUUUUCAUGAUGACUACAAUGCCCAUCAGUUAGUUUUGUGUGAGGACUUUUUUAAAUGUGGUAGGUUUUUUUUUUGUUUUUUUUGUUUUUAAACAUUAGUAUCUUGGUAGAAUGUUACAGAAAAGUCACUAUGUUGACAUUUUAGUACAUAUAAAUUUCUAAUCAUUUUUAAACCAUUCUUUGUUAACAUUCUUCACUCAUUUCUUAUCACCUUGCUAUUAUAUAGAAAACAAAAUUGGAUGCCUUUCUAAAUUUGUGGUAAAUUUGACUUUUUGCAGACUGUAGGAAUUAUUUGAUGGAAAAACUUGAUUGAGGUGCAGUUGCAUGUGUGAAACCACUUUCAACUCAUUAAAUAUAUGGUAGUGGCAGAAAGCUGGAAAAAAAAAAAAGAAAACCCAGCAUAAAAACAAAAAAGUUAGAUUUUAAGUGUUAAGAGUGGGAAGAUAUUUUAAAACAUUUUUUCAGUUUCAAUGGUAAGAAUAUAAUGGAUUGCUUUCUCAGGAAAUUCUCAGCAUUCCUAUUAUAGAUAGUAAUGAACUAUUUUUAAAGGCUAUUAAUUUGUUUCAUUGGAUAGAAACAUUGUAUAGUUGAUUGGGUUGAUAGCGAUUUUUUUUCAGUCCUUGGUAGUUAAAUUCAAAUAAUUCCUGGUUAAUGUAAAAUGUAAUCUUUUUAAAAUAGAAUGAGUGGGUCUGAAUUCUGGAUAAAAUAGGAAAGUUAUAUAUUUCAUUUCAUUGUUCUGCUUAUCCUUGAGAUUAGUUCUUAAAGAUUAUGCUACUUCAAAGCUGAGCAAGGAAGAGAGAACCUACUCGUGGAUUAUGUGGUUGAUACACAUUAGGAAUGUGGGAUUUGUGCAUUAUGAGAACUCUUUACAGUCCUUCAGUGUGGAGCAAAAAAAUCUUUUGUCUGAACAAACACCACAGUAAUAAUACCCAUCAAACUAAUUUAGAAUCCUAAGAUAUUUGUAAGAUGUAUCUUAAAAUUAGACAACAUUAUUUUUUAUUUACAUUUAUUUGGUCUCUUCUGUGGUGGGCUUUGGCGAAGAACUUCAUACUGAAACUGGUUACAUUUCUUUUUGAGGUCUUGAGUCAUGCUGCUUUUAUUUUAAUAAUCUUAGAAAAAAUAUCCAAUGAAGACUUCCUUUGAUCCAAACAUCUUGUUACAUUCUCUCCAUUUUAGGCAAGAGUUCCGACCAAUAAUGCAUGAGGAGCUUAUAACUUGGAAUAAGCAACCCACUUGCUAAAUAGGGAGCUAUAGGGAAGCCAUGUCUUCCAGGUUUUAACUAAUUAAAAUCAUUUCAUAGAUCAAAUGAAAAAAGUCUGAAGGUUACAUUUUAAAAUAACAUUUUUUAAAGCCCUCAUAUCCUUCAUAUAUAUUCAUAUGCUUCCUGUUUGAUUAAAUUAACUUUCUUUUCUCCAAAUAUUAGAAUCCAUCAUCAUACUUGACAGCUGUUCACCCUUUCUCCAGGGCACCUUCAAUUUUCCUUUUUUCUCCCCCUUAUCAUCUUUGCCCUGAUAAAGCUGUGGUUUCUUUGGCAAGAAGCUAUUGUUACUCUUUAUGUGGAAGAAUAAACAAACUUAUUCAGACUGAACAGUGCAUGCUCAAAGAGGAGAAAAAAAGUAGCAAUUAUGUGGGAGCUGUUAUUUAUUAAAGCAAUUAUCUGAGCCAUUAAAGAGCUGCUUGUUUUUACAAUGUUGUAUAAUGGCAUAGAGGAGGAUUAGAAAGAUUUCUUAUUCUCCAGUGUACAUUGUCUUGAGCAUUAUCAAAUUUAGAGACCAUUGAGAGACACGGGACUCUAAUUUAGUAUUUAGUCACCACUCUGAACAGAUUUCCUAUGUGAUAUACUUUCAAAUUGUAGUUGAGUCUCCUUCAACUGUGAGCCUUUGUUCCCUGGGUAUGAAAUGUAUAGAGAAAGGUGAAAUAGGUUGAACUACACUUUCAAGCUUAAAAGAUAACAUUCUUUAGAAAACUAAGAAAAUGCCCAAUAUUUAAACAUUAAGUGACAUUGGGGGCUGACUGAUCACUUUCAGAUGUUUUCAGUGUGGAACUUGAAUGUGUGUUUAAUUUUUUGUGAACAGAUUGAUGACUCUUCUGCAUCUAUUUCUCUGGCCCAGCUUACAAAGGUAUAUAUAUAUAUUCUUGAAAAUAUAAGUCUUUUUUCUAUCAUCGUAUUCUUUUAUGUGGAACAAUUUUUUUUAUGGGUUGGGGGGGAGGAUGUAUUUUGCGAAAGCAUUGUACAUUUUGCUAUCCUGUAAAGAGUAGUUGCUGUUUUGAGAAGAUAGGGGAGUUCUAUAUGAGCCUCAGCGUAAUGUUGGAAUAUUGUUCAUCUUCAAGACAGAAGAAGCACACGAAGCUACACUAAAUCAUGCCCCCCCACACACAUAUAUUGUUUAAUUAUACAUUGGAAACUAACAAAGUUCUGGAGGAAUUCCCUGGAUUUGGCUGUAAAUUAUGUGGACUUUCUCUAAGCAGCCAAAACAGAAGAUUUCCUUUACAUGGACGAUUGCGUGGCUAUUUCUUGAAUAUUUGAAUCAAACCCGUGAAGGUCAAUAUUUUAAAUGUCAUACAUGAAGGUCAAUAUUAUAAAUGUUACAGUUGGUGUUUUUUUUUUUUUUUUAUGCUAUAGGCUUGUAGUCUGUCUGCAUUAGAAAAAGUUUUAAACAACCUAAUUUGUUUGAACGCAGACUACAUGAGUUGUGUAAGUGUAUAAAGAUGUUUGUAGGAAUAUACCACUGUGUAUGUGUGGCAGAGGGACAAAUUGUUACCUCCUGAAAUCAUUGUAUAUGCCAUGUUUUGCGAUAAGAUUGCUUGCAUUUUCUGCUCAACAAUGUAUAUCUUUUGUUUGGAAAAGCACUAGUGAUGGAUUUUUUUUUUUUUAAACAACACAUUUAGAUUGCAAAUUGUGCCUUAAAAAGGAAUAGGUAGACUUUUUAGGGCCAAAAGGAAGUUGUCCGGUUUUCCAGAAAUCCUUUUUUCCCUGCUGUCAGAAAUGUGAAACCAAAUUUGGCAACCAAGAUUAAAGAAAAGAUGAAUUUUCCAUUAGUGCUUGUCCCUUUGUUAUAGGUUAUAUCUUUUUCCCCUAGGAUAUAUCCCCCCCACAAAUGUCCAAGUACAAAUAAUUGCUUUUUAAGCUCCUAGGAAAAUUAAACAUUAAAAUGAAUGAUUCUAAAACCAUCUAUUUUAUCAUUUUCUAAUGCAAAGUGGCUUAGAAUAGUUGACAUCUUUAGCAGGUAAUAGUUUCCUGUUUUUAUUCUUAUGUACUACAAGGACCAUAUUUGAGUUUGGGUCUAUUCCUACCAUUGUUUCUUUGUGGGGAGGAGUUGGGGAGGUUUGGGGGAUUCUUUCCUUUCUUGCUUUCUUUCUUUUAAAUUCUAUUUGUAAAAUAAUGUUUGGGUUCAAACAAAUUAGUUGUUAAACAUCUGUAAUCCAGUUUUCUGUAAAUGUUGCUGUUGUUCUAAGCUCUGUUAAUGUUAAGCAUUCUUUGUAUAUAAAAUUACAAUAAAAUGUUAAAACUGGUUGCUUGUUUUGUGGAUGAAUGUAAAGAAAUCCAUGAGUGGCUGAUAUAUGAGUGCUAGAUGCUUGAAGAUUGAAGUUAUUAGAAAUCACUCCCUUAGACCCUGCUUAUAUCUAGACUAUUAUAUAAUAAUUCCUUAAAGGUGAAGUUCAUAAAAUUUAUCUGGAGAGUUGAAUUAAAAAUUAUAAUAAAUGCUUAAUGCACAUCCUUCAUACUUAAUUUGAAACUGACACCACUACNUAGAUCCAAUCUCAUGAAUACCUAGGUUCAACUAACUUACAGAUUCUAAAAAUUAGAUAGUGCUAGCCAUAUGGUAAAUGCCCAAUAUUGAAAUAAGAAACAGAUUCUCUCAGGACUAGUCUAAGAGUUUAUAUUUACUAGAAGGGUAUAAUUAAAACUUCAACUUCUCUGCUUUCUUGCAACUUUUUAUACUGAUAGCAGAACUAAAAAUAUGUGAAGAAGGCAGCAAUUUGGGCUAUUUAAAGAGUAGUGGUUUUUACUGAGAAUUUACAUAGCUUUGUUUUAAAUUUGGCAAAUUCUGCUUUGGGUCAAAGAAAAAUUAUGGAAUUUGUUGGUCCUAAGAAUUGCAAUGUGUUCUUGGAAAUAAGGUAAAAUAGUCGUUUCUUGGAGUUUUACCUCAUGUGGGCAAGUGUUGUGAAAUUUUUCUCACUAGUUAGUUGUAAAGUUACAUUCUAUAUCUUAACAUUUGAAGGUCUCUUGUGUAAUAGCUGCAGAAUAGUAUCGGCUUUAAAAAGGUGAAUACCUUUUUGUUGUGAUUACCAAGUAAACUUUGUAGUACAUGCUUUUAACUGUAAAUGAUAUUAAGGAUUAUGAAUUAAGAUGAUGAUUUUAAGAAUUAAUUUCUGUAACCUAGUAUGAAAUUACACUUUUUAUCAUGUGUUUUUUAGAAAAAUAGCAAACAUCCCUUUCUCUGGAUUUCUUUUCUCUUUCUUUUUUUUGAUUGAGAAAAGAAUAAUUUGAAGUAAAUGGCAAAACAAGUUGCCUCUUAACACAAAUUGCAUGUUAAUUAUCAACACAUAGGGUUUUGUUUAUAAUAAAUUUGCCUGAAAAUAUCUCUGUGUUUGUUGAGCAAAUACUAGAAAAUGAGCCCCCACACCCAUUUUUUUAAUCUCAGAACUUCCAAAUAAUGCAUAAAAGCUGAGCAUUUAAAAGUUAUACUUAGAAACUCAACCCCUGUUUAUUUCCUGUGUGAGCUAAGGAAAUUUCUUUUUAGAUUUAUUUGUAUGUUCUUUUAAAAAUCGUGUUGUCCAAUUCUACAUAACCAUUUAACUCAUUCUUUUUAACUAAAAUACUCUCAGACUAAGUUGUAUCUUCCUGAGAGUUUGGGUUCUUAUUCAAUUAUUGGCCAUUGUUUUGAAACUUUUAAAAAAUGAAAAUAACUGUCAACCUGUCUAUUUGAAAGUUAGUUUUUGGAGGACGGUAGUUUCUCGUGGAUCCAAAUCAAAUGCUAAUGGCAAUAAUCUUGCUUUGAGAAAAUAUGUGUGGAAAUUCAUUAGGUGACUCUUAAAAAACUAUAGAAUGAUCUUUCAGUCUCUUAAGAAUGAACCACAGGGGCUGGGAUUGUGGCCCAGUGGUAGAGCUCUUGCCUUGUGUGCAUGGGGCACUGGGUUCUAUCCUCAACACCACAUAAAUAAAUAAAAUAAAAGUAUUGUGUCCUACAACUAAAAAAAAAUUAAAAAAAAAAAUGCACCACAGAGUUUCUCAACAUAAUAAAGUCCCCAUACUACCUUUCAGAAAACAUUUAUUAUAAAUGGCAAGGUACACCUAUUCUAGAGUUCCCCACUGUGGAAAUUUUUUUAACCCUUUUGAAAGGGGGUAAAUAUAAAAUUUUUGUAUGAAAGGAAAAUUGUGUUACUAAAAACGUGAUUGGUGAUAUGAAUUAAUAUUUAUUAGCACAAAAAAAUCAAAAAUACUAAGGUUAGUUAAGAUUUGUAAAAACUAAUGUUAGUCUUCGUUGUUUUUUGUUUUUUAGAAGUCGAACUGAACCAGUGAUGGGAACUACAAAAGCAGUAUGUAAAAACACAAUCUCACACUUUUUCUACACAUUGCUUUACCUUUUUAUAUUGUUGCAGUGAAGUAAAUCAUUUUUAGUACUUAAUAUUCAACUGAUCAUAAUACAUAUUGUAAAUAAAAUGUAUUUUGAUGACAGCUCAGUCGAAUAUGGAUAUAUGUGGCAUAAUUUGCACACUUAUUCUGUAGAAAUGGGAAAUUUGUGCCCAUAACACUGUUUCAUAUUAAAUAUGAUAGAAUUCUCCCUGUAUGACACUGUGUUGUACAGUAAUGUAUGAUCCUUUUUAGAUCGUAUAGGUUUUACACUAAUGAACAUGAUAACAUGUUCUACAUCUGUCUGUCUAUAGUUAGUAUUUUGUAUGUAUGUACAGGCUGUUGUGUGCUUUUUGUUUCUUGCAAUAAAAAAAUGUUUGGAGUUGUAUAUUUUGCCAUUUUCACGUUGUAUCACUUAGUUUUUGUUAGUUCCCCACCCCACCCCCUGGCUGAUUGAUGGCUUUCAAAAAUGCAUUAGCAACAUGCAAAGCUUACAUUAAAGUUUGAUGCUUUCUCUAAGUUGAAGCACGUCAUAGAAAAGAGCUUUCCAGAGACCAUUGAUGCAGCUUUAUUAUUUAUUCUUGCUUUAUUUGGCAAUUUUGAGCUCCUAUUCUUUCUUUACAGUGCAUUAUAACGUAAAAACUACACCCUUCUCCCCAUAAGUACAUAAAAGUCUCAAUGAUUUUGAUGAUUUCAUACAGUUGGGUAUAUUGUUUUCAAAAUUUAAUACAAGGCCUUGCACUUCUAUCUAGCUUAUUCAAAAGUCCAAUUGAAAAUAUUGCUCUUUCAUGAGAUUCUAAAAUGCUGCAUUAAUUGUAGGCUAUUAAAGCUAUAGGUUAUCAAAGGUAACUCCUCUUGACCAGGGUAACGUCUUAAUUUUUAUAAUCCCAGAUUAACCUUAAGUGUGACACUUCUUUGACUUUAAGCUCUUAAGUAAAAGGUAGCAGCAUUCCUAAAUUGUGAAGUGAAACAUCUGUUUCAGAAUACAGGUCUAUCUUAAUUGAGUUCUGUAAACUUGAUGGUUCUCUAAACAUUUUACUGCUCAGGCUUGAUAUUGUACACAAUGCAAGAUGUCUGAAAUCUUCAUUUAGAAUUCAAGGGUUUUGCUUGCUAUUUCAUUUUAUACUUUCAAAGUACUACUGAUUUUGUGUAUGAGGCAUUUCACUAACCUUGGAUCACUGGAUCUUAAACAUAACGUAGAAUAUCUGAACUCUGGACUUGUUCUCUAAAGUAUAUGGCCUUUAGUUCUGAUGGAACUAAAUAUAGUUAUUCAAAGAUCAAAAGUCUUAGAGUUUUGGGUUGGUUUUUUUUUUUUUAAAGCAUAAUGCUGUAAAAACUGUCCAAGUUUCUGUUUUGCUGGUGAUUGGUUUAAAAUGAUUUUUAUGUAUCCAAAUGCUAGCACAAAUUAGAUUGACUCUCCUGGUGACUGUAGUAGUAAAUGUAACACGUUUUGUAUAAAGUACAUUUUUAUAUAGUAUUUAAGCUAAUUCAGAUGAAGUUUUAUUUCUUGAAAACAAUUAUUUCCUUUUUGUUUAUUAGCAUGUGUAUAAGCACAAAAUCACAUGUUCAUAAAUAAAGUUAACAUUCUUUUAGCCUUGUGUGUUCCCUGGCAUGUCUGUAUUACAUUUAUAAGAAGCAGUUUAUUUUAAGCUUAUUUAGGCUUUUCUUUUUAUUUAUUUUUUAAUACUUUCAAAGUGGUUUUAGUUUUUAGCUAGGAUUAUCUGAAAUGGACAACUUGUUAUCCCCAUUCUUUACCUGCUUGGGGUGCAUAUGCUGACAUUUAGGAUGCGAGAGUAUAUUCAAACAUAAUCUGUGCUCAUCUUAGGAGACUUAAUUGUGUGGAUUAUAUUCAUUCACAAAAGUAAAUAGAGGUACAGGUCUAAAUUUUUUAUUCUCAUUAGUAAAUGUAUGCACUCUUUUUGGUAAUGUAAGGCAAGUCAUAAUCAGAGGUAGUCAUUUCCGUACUCCCCAGCCUUGUUUUAGUCAGUCAUCCUUCCAUGUUAGUCCUUCAAAGCUGGGUGUUGUUCUUGCUAACUAAAUAUAAGAAUUACAUUUAGGAUCCUUUAGUUUCAGACAAGUAUAACCACAUAAAAAGUUUCAGAUCCUUGCUCCCAGAAGUAAGACCUCCUGGUUAGAUGCAGGGAGGUGGG
rnacentral:lncRNA from 1 species